rnacentral:rRNA from 1 species
CCGGCACGGGUGAGUAACACGUAUCCAACCUGCCGUCCACUCUUGGCCAGCCUUCUGAAAGGAAGAUUAAUCCAGGAUGGCAUCAUGAGUUCACAUGUCCGCAUGAUUAAAGGUAUUUUCCGGUAGACGAUGGGGAUGCGUUCCAUUAGAUAGUAGGCGGGGUAACGGCCCACCUAGUCAACGAUGGAUAGGGGUUCUGAGAGGAAGGUCCCCCACAUUGGAACUGAGACACGGUCCAA